rnacentral:snRNA from 1 species
GUACCUUUCUCGGUCUUUUGGCUAAGAUCGAGUAUAGUAUGACUUCUUAUCAGUUUAAUAUCUGACUUGUGGAACAAGUGCCCACAAUGAUAUUAAAUUUAUUUUUUAGGGGAAAGAACCUAUAAUGAUAGCUUGCUACUAAGGUUCUCAUGGGUCGCUUAGCGUUGCACUACUGCUUGGGCUUGGUGCACCCAGU